CAGCAGCGACCACGUGGACCAGCAGUUCUUCUCCAACCCCCCCCCGGCGCCGUGGCCCCGACUGGCCGAGGUGCUGAGCUGGCAGUUUGAGAGCGUGGCCGAGCGGGGGCUGAGCCGGGACCACCUCCUCAUGUUGGCCGAGAAGCUCUUCGGCUCCAAGCCAUCGCCGGAGAGCGCCCUGACCUGGCCCAAAUUCUCCAAGG